rnacentral:rRNA from 1 species
AGAGUUUGAUCCUGGCUCAGAUUGAACGCUGGCGGCAUGCCUAACACAUGCAAGUCGAACGGUAACGCGAGGAGCUUGCUCCUUGGCGACGAGUGGCGGACGGGUGAGUAAUGCUUAGGAAUCUGCCCAUGUAGUGGGGGACGACACGAGGAAACUCGUGCUAAUACCGCAUACGCCCUAAGGGGGAAAGCGGGGGAUCUUCGGACCUCGCGCUAUUGGAUGAGCCUAAGUCGGAUUAGCUUGUUGGUGGGGUAAAGGCCUACCAAGGCUACGAUCCGUAGCUGGUCUGAGAGGACGAUCAGCCACACUGGGACUGAGACACGGCCCAGACUCCUACGGGAGGCAGCAGUGGGGAAUAUUGGACAAUGGGGGCAACCCUGAUCCAGCAAUGCCGCGUGUGUGAAGAAGGCCUGCGGGUUGUAAAGCACUUUCAGUAGAGAAGAAAAGCUUAGGGUUAAUAACCCUGGGUCUUGACGUAACCUACAGAAGAAGCACCGGCUAACUCCGUGCCAGCAGCCGCGGUAAUACGGAGGGUGCGAGCGUUAAUCGGAAUUACUGGGCGUAAAGCGCGCGUAGGCGGCUGUGUAAGUCGGAUGUGAAAGCCCAGGGCUUAACCUUGGAAUUGCAUUCGAAACUGCACGGCUAGAGUAUGGGAGAGGAAAGCGGAAUUUCCGGUGUAGCGGUGAAAUGCGUAGAUAUCGGAAGGAACAUCAGUGGCGAAGGCGGCUUUCUGGACCAAUACUGACGCUGAGGUGCGAAAGCGUGGGGAGCGAACAGGAUUAGAUACCCUGGUAGUCCACGCCGUAAACGAUGACAACUAGAUGUUGGGAGAAUUUGUCUCUCAGUGUCGCAGCUAACGCGUUAAGUUGUCCGCCUGGGGAGUACGCCGGCAACGGUAAAACUCAAAGGAAUUGACGGGGACCCGCACAAGCGGUGGAGCAUGUGGUUUAAUUCGAUGCAACGCGAAGAACCUUACCUGGCCUUGACAUCCUCAGAACUUGUAAGAGAUUACUUGGUGCCUUCGGGAACUGAGUGACAGGUGCUGCAUGGCUGUCGUCAGCUCGUGUCGUGAGAUGUUGGGUUAAGUCCCGCAACGAGCGCAACCCUUGUCCCUAGUUGCCAGCACGUAAUGGUGGGAACUCUAGGGAGACCGCCGGUGACAAACCGGAGGAAGGUGGGGGUGACGCCAAGUCAUCAUGGCCCUUAUGGCCAGGGCUACACACGUGCUACAAUGGACAGUACAGAGGGUUGCCAACCC